AAUGUUUUAGUUUAACCCUCCGCCACAAAAGUUUGGUACCCCAUUGAAUUAAUUUGAUACUUUAGAAAUUAUAAAAGGCAUCUAAUUAAUUAUGAAUGCCACUGUUUUAAUUAUUUUGAAGGACUUAAACAUUUUCUAAAGUUUUGGUUUCUUCACCAAUAUUACCUAUGCAUUAUUUGGCUCACUCCGAACAUUUUAGUUUUAAUAUUUGAAAUUUUUUAUUGUUUACUUGAUUUAGAAUUUGAAUUUGAAUCGGUUUCUAAUUAAGGCGAGAUUAGCAAUAGUAAUCGAGUUGACAUGGCAUCAUUAAUACAGGGUUACUGUAGCUUGAUUACCCGGGCGUCAUAAUUCUCCUCCACUACAAGAAAUCUCGUCCCGAGAUUCAUGAGAGGGACUAAUGGGGAAAAGAUUUGGUUACGAAAUUCUAACGAGUCAUCUCGGUCUUGGUUGCCCUUCUCGAAAAGUUGAACCCCCUUGUUGAUGUCUUCAUUUCCCUGCUCAUCAUGAUGAAGUCUUCAUCCUUUCUUCGGGAGUCUCAUCAUACUUAUGAAAAAUGAUAAGGGGUAUCUUCGGAAGAACUGACCUCUACAAGGUCGCGUAUCUGGUAGAGAACAUCAGGGAGGGUGGCGGAUAGUAACUCUCGAAUUGAAACUUAAGAAAAUAUCGAGAGCAAAGUAAGAAGGUGCGAAAUAGAAGUUUCAAGAGGAUAUGCAAUUGUUUGAUGCCUAAUCAGAAGGUGAAAGGGUUUCAGGGCAACAAUAAUAAGUAUUGCGUCUGAUACCCGAAUAGAUCACUUGGCAGGUGGGCCGUGAGUUACAUAAGAAGUCAAGCGCGAGGAAUAACUUUGGAAACCGGGGGUGUACAGGAGAGUCAGGUUUCGAUCCUGUGGGACUGUGGGUUAUGGGCCCACCAUGUGGGUUAAAAGUAGGAAGGGGGUGACGUCUUGCAUGAUCAUGUCAGCAAGGCAUGUCAGAGGAUAGAUUAUCGAUUAUGUCGGCAACAACCAUUGGUACCAAGGGAGAGGGACGAAGAGAACCAUUUUCCUGCUCGUUGAACGAGGCGGACCAAUAGGCAAAGUUCUCGUCCAUCGAUGGUUACCAGAAUGCUAUCAACAAAAGCAACAGGGUCUUACUGACACGGUUGUACACCAAGGUGUUUACAUAAGCAGAAGAAUAUUACUGCUUAGAUCAUAUAGAUCACCAGAAAGGUUAAACAAAACAAUGGAAAGGAAAAUGUGAUCUUCGUAUUAAACAGAACAAUGGAAGGGAAAAUGUGUUUAAACACAAAUUUCAGGGGUAUAUCCUUCCCAAGGUCAAGGAAAGCAUGAUAUCCAUGACAGGAUAUUAUGUACAAAACUAUUUUGGGAAAGGUGAGAGAAAUUUCAUGACAUACCCAUACAACGGGGUUUGAAUAAUUGAUAAAGAGAAUUUAGCAUUUUGCUUCAAAUGCUCUUAUUGAAAAUCGGAGUACCACAGACAUGCUUCGGGAUAGCAUUGACAUGGUCUUCAAACAAAGUUAGGACUUUGGAUACACAAAGGAUCCAUCAGGAUAAACUUAUUAAACAAGGCAUUCAAUUUCCUCAUGGAAAAAUGAUUAACCUUGUUAAAAAGGAAACUAUAACACUAGGUCCUCUCGUCAGGUGUGCUAGGCAUGACAUCACCUUACCGGGGCAUAUAGGGACCAAUUUUAUAACUCUUGAAAAUAUGUUCCAACCAUCAUGUCUGACCGAGAUUCAGAUCUGACUGGUGUCAGGAUACCUUAGACUCAGGAUGCCUAAGAAGAAAGGUGCAACACAAAUUGUCGAGGUGACAUUGUAAGAUUCUCGGGGAAAUGAAUUAUGGAAGCAAGUUCGAAAACAAGAGUUCAUCAGUAAUGAAGGAGAGGAAGAGGAUGUGGCUGAUGGACUCAGCAAUAAUUCAACAAGGUAUCCAAAAGGAUGCAUCUCCACAAUUAUGUGGAUAGGAAGAUAGCAUUUGUCAGAUCAAAUAAUAUAAUGAAAUAUGCUCGAGGAAAACAUACACAAUUAAACAUUGGUUGAAAGGUGCGCCCGAAUUAUGGGUUGGGUUGCACAACCAAUGUCAGAAUGGUGAUUCAAUAAUCAAUAGUCUAAGAAUGAACGAAUAUGGCAAGAAGUAUCACUUGUACCAAGAAUGCAUAAGAGGUGGUGAAAUUCCCACAACAUUCUUGACAUAAAAGGUGGUAAUAUCCAAGGUAAAGAAGAACAAUGCUGGGUAGCAAGGAACUCAAGGUAUAACACAAAACACAAACAAGCUUGUGUCGAACGGAAGGCAAUAAAGUGGUAGAUGAUAAAACAAAUCAUCAAGGGAAAGGAUGGUAUUUCUCAUCAUGAAUUCGACAUAUAUCUUGGAAGAGCUCAGGAUGUUGCUGAUGACCACGGCACAUUUGUCGAGAGAUUUCAUGAAGAUGUAAUCGAUCGGCGAUGACAUCAAGUCAAAUGAUGAUGCAGCAAAAGUCAAAUAAUACUUGAAGAAGAACUCAUAAGAAGUUAUGCAGUUCCGUGAUAAUCUCGAGAUACCAGAGGGGGUAAUACUUGAUGACAGAUCAAAGUAGAGGUUGGACUGGGGUAUUGCUCUACAGAAGACAAGCGCUUAAACUUGCACGCGAAAUGGUAUUUAAAGGAGAACAUGGUCGGAACCACGAUUGCAAAAGGCCAGAUCCCGGAUAUAAGAUGAACUUAUACCAAAGGAAUAAUUUAAUUUAAGAGAAGCUUUAAUGAUAAGAUCUACAUCGUGUCCAUGGGCAUGAACACAAAGUUCAAGGUCGACUCCCACUUCUCCAAUGCAUAACCUUUCAUUCACUUCUCACUUUCGAAGAAGUUGUAGUGUUGAAAUUUUAUUUGGCAAAAUACCAGAAGUGUAUGACUCGUGAAAACUUUCGAGUUCACACAGUUUAGAUAAGGCAUAUGUUCAACCCAUAGGGGCUUCUUAGAAACAUAUACCGCAAGUUUCAAGAGUAAAUAUCACAAGCUCGAAAGUAGAGCAAGGUUGAGAAAGUAGAUGAUACCAUUUACCAAAGGCAUUAUGUAUCCGAGGGAAGGCUCACAAGGUUAUUGAAUAUGAAGGACGCUGUCGGAUAAAAUCCAUUAAAGGAUCUACCGGUCCAUAACGGAGAUGACGUGAGCAUCGGCACACAACCAGAGGAAGUAACAAUGCAAAGGCAUUGAAUUAUGGAAACAACUGACUAAUCCAGAGCUCAAAUGCAAAGGAAUUAUGAUUUUCAAAUCAAGGGAUCAGAAGCAAUGUUCUAAUUAGGGAUGGAUAAGUUGAAUAGCCUUAGGGGUACAAUCAACGGCAAUUGGAUUUGUUGAGAACCAGCUCAUGUUUAAAAUGACGUCUGAGCCGGAAAGAUAAUUUAGAAGGAUCAACUGAUGAUUGCAUGCAUUCGCACUCAUGUUGAAUCAAAGGGAUCAAAAUGACGGUGUCUAGGGAUACUAACGAAUAUUGCCAGACAUAUGGAAAGCAUCCAUCAUGCAAGCAGACAAGUAUUGCAGAGCAAUAAGCUACUAAGGAUUUUUGGAGGAUCGAAUAGUAUUUCAAUGACCAUUGUGAAACACAUGAACAACUAGGGGAUGAGCGGAUACUCGAUAAGUGCGAGAAUUAUCCGUAGGGGUAUUCAGGUGACAAAGAACAGCAAGGCAGUAAGCUCAAAGGAUUAUCGAAACAACGACGAGUAUUCCGGGGUAUCUUGUAAUAACAAGACCAACUGGGAAUAAAAGUAAGAACGACAGGUGUAAGUAUUUAUCCAUAGGGAUUUUUCGGUGGUAGGGAAUUGCAAAAGCAAUGGCACAAAGUUUUAGGAGAACAUCGGAGAGUAUUAUCAAAAUCUUCUGUUGAAGGAGUCGAUCAUCUGUAAUGAAGGGCUCUCCGGGAGAAAGUGAUAACGAGAUCCUAAUGUUAGAUUUAGCAAAAUUCAUUUAACCCGAAUAGAAGAGAGUUCAGAGUCCCAGAGUAAGGAUCGAGGAGUAAAAGAUCCUAAUACCACACAGAGGGCGACGUGGGCUCGUAAGCCGCACAACCAUGUUAGUAAAAGUUUUUCAAUGACUAGACUCGACUUCGGCCAAGGAGUUGGAAAGGGGGAUUCCUACAGGCAGUCGGCUCUGAGACCAACUUGUGACGCCCGCGAUUUGACCGUACACUAAUCAUGCACGCAAAUGUGUACGAUCAAGAUCAAGGACUCACGGGAAGAUAUCACAACACAACUCUACAAAUAAAAUAAGUCAUACAAGCAUCAUAUUACAAGCCAGGGGCCUCGAGGGCCCGAAUACAAGAGCUCGAUCAUAGACGAGUCAGCGGAAGCAACAAUAUCUGAGUACAGACAUAAGUUAAACAAGUUGCCUUAAGAAGGCUAGCACAAACUGGGAUACAGAUUGGAAGAGGCGCAGGCCUCCUGCCUGGGAUCCUCCUAACUACUCCUGGUCGUCGUCAGCGGGCAGCACGUAGUAGUAGGCACCUCCGGUGUAGUAGGAGUCGUCAUCGACGGUGGCGUAUGGAUCCUGGGCUCCAACAUCUGGUUGCGACAACUAGGUAGAAGGGAUAGAGGGAAAAGAAGGAGAAGCAACCGUGAGUACUCAUCCAAAGUACUCGAAAGCAAGGAGCUACACUACAUAUGCAUGGGUAUAUGUGUAAAGGCCAUAUCGGUGGACUGAACUGCAGAAAGCCAGAAUAAGAGGGGGAUAGCUAAUCUUGUCGAAGACUACGCUUCUGGCAGCCUCCGUCUUGCAGCAUGUAGAAGAGAGUAGACUGAAGUCCUCCAAGUAGCAUCACAUAGCAUAACCCUAACCGAUGAUCCUCUCCUCGUCGCCCUGUGAGAGAGCGACCACCGGUUGUAUCUGGCACUUGGAAGGGUGUUCUUAUUAAGUAUCCGGUUCUAGUUGUCAUAAGGUCAAGGUACAACUCCAAGUUGUCCUGUUACCGAAGAUCACGGCUAUUCGAAUAGUUAACUUCCCUGCAGGGGUGCACCACAUAACCCAACACGCUCGAUCCCAUUUGGCCGGACACACUUUUCUGGGUCAUGCCCGGCCUCGGAAGAUCAACACGUCGCAGCCCUACCUAGGCACAACAGAGAGGUCAGCACGCCGGUCUAAAUCCUAUGGCGCAGGGGUCUGGGCCCAUCGCCCUUUGCACACCUGCACGUUGCGAACGCGGCCGGAAGCAGAACUAGCCCCCUUAAUACAAGAGCAGGCUUACGGUCCAAUCCGGCGCGCGCCACUCAGUCGCUGACGUCACGAAGGCUUCGGCUGAUACCACGACGUCGAGUGCCCAUAACUGUCCUCGCGUAGAUGGUUAGUGCAUAUAGGCCAGUGGCCAGACUCAGAUCAAAUACCAAGAUCUCGUUAAACGUGUUAUCUUGAGAUAACCGUGAACACCGACCAGGGCCAGGCCCACCUCUCUCCUAGGUGGUCUCAACCUGCCCUGUCGCUUCGCCACAAAGAUCCACUCGCGGGUACUCCUACGAGCCGACCCGUCUUUUAGUCAUCACAUGUAUCAUGUAUAAAGUAAAUAGUAUAUACCCGUGAUCACCUCCCGAGUGAUCACGGCCCGAUAGUAUAACAUGGCAGACGGACAAGAAUGUAGGGCCACUGAUGAUAAACUAGCAUCCUAUACUAAGCAUUAGGAUUGCAGGUAAAGGUAACAACAGUAGUAGCAAGGACAGGCUAUGCAUCAGGAUAGGAUUAAUGGAAAGCAGUAACAUGCUACACUACUCUAAUGCAAGCAGUAUAGAAAGUAGAGUAGGCAAUAUCUGGUGAUCAAGGGGGGGGGCUUGCCUGGUUGCUUUGGCGAGAGAGAGGGGUCGUCAACAUCGUAGUCAUACUCGGUGGAAUCAACACUGGCCUCGAGGUCCACCGGAGAAGAAGAGGGGGAAGAAACAGUAAAUACGGAGCGAACAAAGCAUAACAAAACAUAACGAGGCAAUACGCGGUGUAGGUAUGCCCUAACGCGGUAGUAGGUGAUACCGGUAAAGGGGAAAAACAUCUGGGAAAGUAUUCCCGGUGUUUUGCAUUUUUGGACAUAUGAACCGGAGGGGGAAAGUUGUGUGUUCGAUAGGCUAGGGGUGUGUGGCGGACAAACGAGCUUCGUAUCCGGAUUCGUCUCGUCGUUCGGAGCAAGUUUCAUGUACAAAGUAUUUUCAUCUGACUUACGGAUUAUUUUAUAUGAUUUUUCAAAGUUUUAAUCAAUUUCUAAAAUUUCUAAUUUAUUGUAAUUUGUUUUAAACCGAGUUGACCAAGUCAAUUUUGACUAGUCAAAAGGACAGGUUGUGGCCCACAUGUCAUAGGUUGUACCUAAACAAAUAAAUAAAACUAAUCUAAUUGAAUGGGACCCACAUGUCAUCUACACAUAGGCUAAUCUAGCCACUAAUUAAUACUACUAGCUAAACCUAGUACUAAUAAGGGUCGGCCACUACUGGGCAAAACCCAGCCGGCCACAUGCACGGCACACACACAAAACACGCAACACAAAUGCUAGAGGUUAAUUCCGUUCUCUGUUUAACAGAAAAUAGCAACUUAUGAUUUUCAUAGGAUUUAAUCAAUGCAUCAAAUGGAUUUGGUCCAAUGGAAACAUUUGAGCUUUGUCAAGUGUACUACCUACUCAUAUUAUUUUUACACAUAUUAGCAACUGUUUAACUACUGAUUAGGGGCUGUUUAGGGGCUUAGUCAACGUAGAAAUUGAAAAGCUAACUAGUAGCAGCUACAGUAGAUAGUAGCAGUACAGUAGAGCAGCGUUGGGCAGUGGCUUGGCUCAGGCAUGCGUAGGCGGGGCAGCCGCAGCGGCAGGCGAGGCCAUACGCGGGCGGGCGCGGGGUGCGGCUCAAUGGGCACAGUGAGGCCGGCCGACAACAGUAGGCACGGCCAUGGGCAAGCAGGCGGCGACACGCAGGGCAAUCAGGGGUGAGCGGCGACGACGCAGUCGAAGCAGCAAGCAGCGGUACGAGCAGCACAGGCAAGAGCAGCAGCGACAGGCAGUAGAAACAUCAAGCAGCAACGGUGGUGGCGCUAGAGGCAAAUAGCAGCAGCAGAAGCGAGCAGCGGCGGCACGCACGGCAAGCAGGGGCGAGCGGGGCGAGUGGCGGCAUGCUCAGGCGGGGGCGGCCGCAGUGCAGCAGCAUCACACGGGGGCAGCGCCGGCAGGCGUGGAUGCGCGCAGCAAGCACGCGAGCGCGGCCAAGGCACAGGUGAGCGCGAGAGAGCGGAGCAGUGGGCGGGCACGCGAUGGCGCCGGCGAAUGCGUGCGAUGGGGGCGGCUCGGACACGAUGAGCCCGAGAAAAUAGCCACGGAUCGACCAAAUGGAGGAGGUAGGUGGCAUCUACACAGCUCCAGAAGCUCGGCAAUGUCCUCUGUUGGGCUCGUGCAUUUCUACGGCGACGACGAGCUUGGCCUACAGUGGGGACGGAGUAGCGGUGACGGAGUCGUGCUAGAGAGAGGGGGGAAAGACACGGAGCUCACCAAGGGAGCUCAAGGAGGCUCUUCGAGGGGUUUAGGAGCUGCAGAGGCGAUCGACGUUGGCGACGGCGACCGGUGUCCUGAGGAAGAAGUCGAGCUCGGAGCGGCGUCGUGGGGGCGUCCAGGUCCUCUUGGAUUGGCAUAGAGGAAGAAGGGGAGGACAACGUAGGUCGGGGUCGGAUCGGGGGCGAGGUGAGGCAACGACGGCGAGGUCUGGCGACGGCGACGAAGGGCACCGGCUCGGGUCCGUGGGCGUCUAGAUCGGGGAGCGGAACGCGGGGGAGAGAGGGGGUUAGCUAGGGUUCCAGGAACCGGGGAGGGAGUCGCCGGAUAUAUAGGCGAGGCCGGCCGGGCGAUGGUCGGCGCGUGGCCGGCGACGGGGCGAUGGCCGCCACGCAACCCCCACGUUCCUGUAGUGGGAAGGGGAUGAGGGAGUGGGCCGGCCUGGCCAGUUUGCUGGGCCAAGGCCCAGGGGAGGGGGAGGUUUUAUCUUUUUAUAAUUUCAUUUUGUUUAUCUUUUCUUUUUCUUUAUUUACUCUUUUAUUUUACUAUUCGCGUAUUUUAGUUUUAUAAAAAUAUGAGACUAAUACCUAAAUUAAUGUUUUAGUUUAACCCUCUGCCACAAAAGUUUGGUACCCCAUUGAAUUAAUUUGAUACUUUAGAAAUUAUAAAAUGCAUCUAAUUAAUUAUGAAUGCCACUGUUUUAAUUAUUUUUAAGGACUUAAACAUUUUCUAAAGUUUUGGUUUCUUCACUAAUAUUACCUAUGCAUUAUUUGGCUCACUCCGAACAUUUUAGUUUUAAUAUUUGAAUUUUUUAUUGUUUACUUGAUUUAGAAUUUGAAUUUGAAUCAGUUUCUAAUUAAGGCGAGAUUAGCAAUAGUAAUCGAGUUGACGUGGCAUCAUUAGUACAGGGUUACUGUAGCUUGAUUACC
rnacentral:lncRNA from 1 species